UACGGAGGGAGCUAGCGUUGUUCGGAAUUACUGGGCGUAAAGCGCGCGUAGGCGGCUUUGUAAGUUAGAGGUGAAAGCCCGGGGCUCAACCCCGGAAUUGCCUUUAAGACUGCAUCGCUUGAAUCCGGGAGAGGUGAGUGGAAUUCCGAGUGUAGAGGUGAAAUUCGUAGAUAUUCGGAAGAACACCAGUGGCGAAGGCGGCUCACUGGACCGGCAUUGACGCUGAGGUGCGAAAGCGUGGGGAGCAAACAGG
rnacentral:rRNA from 2 species